rnacentral:rRNA from 1 species
UCUGGUUGAUCCUGCCAGUAGUUAUAUGCUUGUCUCAAAGAUUAAGCCAUGCAUGUCUAAGUACACACGAAUUAAAAGUGAAACCGCAAAAGGCUCAUUAUAUCAGUUAUGGUUCCUUAGAUCGUUAACAGUUACUUGGAUAACUGUGGUAAUUCUAGAGCUAAUACAUGCAUUAUAAACACGGACCUUUGGGACGUGUGCUUUUAUUAGGCUAAAACCAAGCGAUCGCAAGAUCGUUAUUAUGGUUGAACUCUAGAUAACUUGCAGAUCGUAUGGUCUUGUACCGACGACAGAUCUUUCAAAUGUCUGCCCUAUCAACUUUUGAUGGUAGUAUCUAGGACUACCAUGGUUGCAACGGGUAACGGGGAAUCAGGGUUCGAUUCCGGAGAGGGAGCCUGAGAAACGGCUACCACAUCUAAGGAAGGCAGCAGGCGCGUAAAUUACCCACUCCCAGCCCGGGGAGGUAGUGACGAAAAAUAACAAUACAGGACUCAUUAUAGAGGCCCUGUAAUUGGAAUGAGUACACUUUAAAUCCUUUAACAAGGACCUAUUGGAGGGCAAGUCUGGUGCCAGCAGCCGCGGUAACUCCAGCUCCAAUAGCGUAUAUUAAAGUUGUUGCGGUUAAAACGUUCGUAGUUGAACUUGUGCUUCAUACGGGUAGUAUAACUAUAAUUGUAGUCUGUACUAUACCUUAUGUAUGUAAGCGUAUUACCGGUGGAGUUCUUAUAUGUAUUAAAUACUUGUAUUUAUAUGUAUUCCUCCUAUUUAAACCUGCUUCAGUGCUCUUCAUUGCGUGCUGUUGUAGGCCGGUACAAUUACUUUGAACAAAUUAGAGUGCUUAAAGCAGGCUCCAAAUGCCUGAAUAUUUUGUGCAUGGAAUAAUGAAAUAAGACCUCUGUUCUACUUUCAUUGGUUUUUAGAUCAAGAGGUAAUGAUUAAUAGAAGCAGUUUGGGGGCAUUAGUAUUACGACGCGAGAGGUGAAAUUCUUGGACCGUCGUAAGACUAACUUAAGCGAAAGCAUUUGCCAAAGAUGUUUUCAUUAAUCAAGAACGAAAGUUAGAGGUUCGAAGGCGAUCAGAUACCGCCCUAGUUCUAACCAUAAACGAUGCCAGCUAGCAAUUGGGUGUAGCUACUAUUAUGGCUCUCUCAGUCGCUUCCCGGGAAACCAAAGCUUUUGGGCUCCGGGGGAAGUAUGGUUGCAAAGCGAAACUUAAAGUUUUUACUUUUAUUUUUGAUGCAUUGCAUAUAAAUGAUAACAUAACAUAUCAUAUAUAAAUUGUUUUCGAAUCUAAAGUGAAAAAAUUGUUAGAAACAAAAAUGUAUGUAAUGUGGUUAAACGGGCUAGAUUUACAUAAGUUUAUUUAAGUCCAUUUUGGUAGCAAAAUGUCUCGUCAUAUAUUUAGUGACGCAAUGAAGAAAAAGAAUUUUAAGAAAUUCAUAUUUGUCUGAUUCAAUGAAAUUGAAAUGUCUUUUUUAAAUUUCUAUUAUACAUUGUGACUGACAAAUACUUUUUUAAAUCAGUCUAACUGAAAAAUCAAUGAUUGGUGUUUUGAAAAAGAAAUUUUAAAAUGUUGAUUCAUUUUGAAUCAAACAAAGGUGAAGUUAUGGUAGCAAAAUGUCUUGUGACGCUAAUAAAAAAAUUUUAUAUUAAACAAAAAUGAUUCAAUGAAAUCGUCGUAUGUCUUCUUUUGAAAUUAUAUUCAAUAUAAAAUAUUCAAAGAAAAUUUUGUAAAUACGACGUUUUCAAGAUGAUGAUCUUAAAAAAAUUAUUUU